rnacentral:tRNA from 2 species
UCCUCGGUAGCUCAGUGGUAGAGCGGGCCCCUGUUAAGGGCAAGGUCGCAGGUCCGAAUCCUGCCCGAGGAGCCA